GACGAACGCUGGCGGCGUGCUUAACACAUGCAAGUCGUACGGUAAGGCCCUUUCGGGGGUACACGAGUGGCGAACGGGUGAGUAGCACGUGAGUAACCUGCCCACAACUUUGGGAUAACGCUAGGAAACUGGUGCUAAUACUGGAUAUGUGCCCCUGCUGCAUGGUGGGGGUUGGAAAGCUCCGGCGGUUGUGGAUGGACUCGCGGCCUAUCAGCUUGUUGGUGGGGUAGUGGCCUACCAAGGCGGCGACGGGUAGCCGGCCUGAGAGGGUGACCGGCCACAUUGGGACUGAGAUACGGCCCAGACUCCUACGGGAGGCAGCAGUGGGGAAUAUUGCACAAUGGGCGCAAGCCUGAUGCAGCAACGCCGCGUGCGGGAUGACGGCCUUCGGGUUGUAAACCGCUUUCAGCAGGGACGAAGCUUUUUGUGACGGUACCUGCAGAAGAAGCACCGGCUAACUACGUG
rnacentral:rRNA from 1 species